GUUACUACACUCAGAUUACUACACUCAGGUUACUACACUCAGGUUACUACACUCGGAUUACUACACUCGGAUUACUACACUCAGAUUACUACACUCAGAUUACUACACUCAGGUUACUACACUCAGGUUACUACACUCAGAUUACUACACUCAGGUUACUACACUCAGGUUACUACACUCGGAUUACUACACUCAGAUUACUACACUCAGAUUACUACACUCAGAUUACUACACUCGGGUUACUACACUCAGAUUACUACACUCGGGUUACUACACUCGGGUUACUACACUCGGGUUAGUACACUCGGGUUACUACACUCGGGUUACUACACUCGGGUUACUACACUCGGGUUAGUACACUCGGGUUACUACACUCGGGUUACUACACUCGGAGUACUACACUCGGGUUAGUACACUCGGGUUACUACACUCGGGUUACUACACUCGG
ensembl:lncRNA